rnacentral:rRNA from 1 species
AAGAGUUCGUAGGUGGUUAAAAAAGUUGGUGGUGAAAUCCCAGAGCUUAACUCUGGAACUGCCAUCAAAACUUUUUAGCUAGAGUAUGAUAGAGGAAAGCAGAAUUUCUAGUGUAGAGGUGAAAUUCGUAGAUAUUAGAAAGAAUACCAAUUGCGAAGGCAGCUUUCUGGAUCAUUACUGACGCUGAGGAACGAAAGCAUGGGUAGCGAAGAGGAUUAGAUACCCUCGUAGUCCAUGCCGUAAACGAUGUGUGUUAGACGUUGGAAAUUUAUUUUCAGUGUCGCAGCGAAAGCGUUAAACACACCGCCUGGGGAGUACGACCGCAAGGUUAAAACUCAAAUGAAUUGACGGGGACCCGCACAAGUAGUGGAGCAUGUGGUUUAAUUCGAAGAUACGCGCAGAACCUUACCAACACUUGACAUGUUCGUCGCGACUCUAAGAGAUUAGAGUUUUCGGUUCGGCCGGACGAAACACAGGUGCUGCAUGGCUGUCGUCAGCUCGUGUCGUGAGAUGUUGGGUUAAGUCCCGCAACGAGCGCAACCCUCACUUUUAGUUGCCAUCAUUUAGUUGGGCACUCUGAAAGAACUGCCAGUGAUAAGCUGGAGGAAGGUGGGGAUGACGUCAAGUCCUCAUGGCCCUUACGUGUUGGGCUACACACGUGCUACAAUGGCAUUUACAAUAGGAAGCAAGAUGGCGACAUCAAGCAAAUCCUAAAAAGAUGCCUCAGUUCGGAUUGUACUCUGCAACUCGAGUACAUGAAGCUGGAAUUACUAGUAAUCGCGGAUCAGCGCGC